AGAACUGUUAGGUGAGAAGAUGAAAAAUUCAUUGUACUCUGCAGAGAAGAAAGACCACUUUCUUUGUGUGAACGGCAGAACAGCCCCACGGCAAGAUUUGUAGGGUCCACGCAUUGGAGAUAAUGGAGGUCCUUGCUGUGAAAAAAGGGGAACAGAGAUGCAAGGCUUGCUCCUGCUGGACAGUGAUCACCAUCAUACAAGUGAAAUUGUUAUCCUAUUGCUUUACAAGAGAAGAUGAUGGCUGUACCACGAGACACAAGGGGCCUGAGAAAAGAAGAAAGCUCUCUGGCCCCAUGCCUUCCUGCAGUGCAGCAGUGAUGCUCUUCUGGCAACCAGACACUCAUUUCACCGUGUUGUUCAUCUCCCCAAGCUGGUUACCUUUCUGGUCUCGUUCACUUUGCACCUUCCCUCUUCCUCAACUCUUGAUUGCCUGUGUUGAGGUCAUUACUUUAUUAACGUGCACCUUAUUUCAAUAUGCUUGUACCACUCAUAAUGUCAUUAUUCCAUCACAAGACAUCUUGUUAUGGCCAUUGCAGUGUAGUAGAGACUUUCUUCUGAUGUGAUAAAGAAAAAAAGAAGAUUUAGUACAUUCCCGUUUCAGGGAGAGCCUGAUUUAUACACUUUUAAUUGCUACAAUGAAAAAUAAGGGAGAAAAUGUGGAAUUGAGAAAAGAUCUAGGAGCUGAUGAAAUCAGUACAUAGGUUGGAGUGUAGAAAAGCUCAUUAAACUCUGAUGAGUGAACAUGAUUUUAAACAUAGAUGUUUUGAAUCUGUAUAGAGUACCAAAUUUCAGUUUUUGAGAGAGAAGCAAAAUAAAUACGUACAUGCAUAUUGAUAUAAAAUGGAUACUUUAAGAGGCUGUAAUGCAUUCUAUGGAACAAGGAAGUUAUCAAAAAUUAGCCAUUUGAAAGAGAUAGCUGAAGUGUAAAAAGGAGCAGCACUAGAAUUCUUGUUAGCAGUAAGAGCAAUGGUAGCUGAUGCUAGUUUCCUUGGACCAGUUGCUGCUGGGAACAAUUGCCCUGGUUGUCUUGGAGGAAACAUCACAAGUUCUGAUCAGAUGAAGCUGGAUGUGUUCUUCAGAGGUGACUGUACAGCAUGGACAGCUGAGUGAAAGGAAUGGUAAUCUCACACAUCCAAAGAAUUAAAUGCCUUUCAAACCUGAUGGCAGUGCUGUUACUCUAAAUGUUGAUAGGAAGAAUCGCCACUUUUCAUCGUGGAGAAUCCUAAUCUUGCUCUGCAUGAAGAAUGUAAAGUGAAGUAUUAUGGCAUAGUUAGACAUUGAGGCUCUAAUUUUGAUGAGCCCAUGAAAUAGGCUGUUAAAUGACUACAUUUGUUUGAAUCUUGACAAUGGCAUGUAGGGGUAAUUUUGAAUUUCUGAUGCUGUGAAGAAAGGAUCUGUUACCAUACAUGCAGAAUAUUAGUGACACAUCUGAACUUUUAAUGAGUAUAAUUGACAUGGAGAAAAAUACCCACAUCCAUAUAGAUAUAUGAAGAAUAUGCUUUGGCUGCAAUGCAUGGCUAAGAAGACAAGAGAGCAGCAAUUAGUUUUCUGGAUCAAAACGAAUGGGUUCUAAGUAUAAAAUAGAAAUGCACUCUUAGACUUACAACAACAGCGGUUACUAAGAGCCAUGAGAGACCUUUGAUUGGAAGGUGGACACUGAUUCAGCUCAGUUUGGCUCUAAAUGUGAAGCACAUUUCCUGGAGUUGUGGAGCAAAACUUGUCUUUUCUGGUAGAGAAGCAGGAACCUAGAAGGACUUCUGAGACUAAGCAAGCCUGUAAUGCUUCUCAUACCUCCAUGGAAAUAUGUCUCCUGGGAGCUUCAGUUUCUCUGGGGGUUGUUCUUAGCAUGUGCACACUUCAUUUAAUGUCCCUGACUAAACAGUCCUCUGCUACUUUUAGGAAUGAGGUUUAUCUUCUAAUUUUAGAAGAGCCCAGGCACACAAGGCAGGAAUUCAGUGAUUUUCUGUGAUUCCAGAUAAUGAUGUCAUACUGACUUGGAGCUUUCUGUGCUGGAUUGGGAGGUGAGGGAACUAGCACAAAUUUUCUGAUAUUUUUCCCACGGUAAUUGAAGAUUCUACUUGGAACUUUGCAGAUUGAACAGUAGAAUGUGAAAUAGCCAGAGGCACAGCUGGCCCUGAGAGACAGUCUCAUACCAUCAAGUAAAGGGAACAGACUUCACAUCAGGUUAAAAGCAUAAGUAGUGCUCUUGUCUCAAGGAGAUUCAGUAGCAUUUCCAUAUCUACGAAAGUAGGUCAUCUGGCUCUGAACUUCCUGGAUUCAUCUUUUCUGGAAAUUAAAAGAGCAGCAGUUGGAAGAACCUGGGACUACAGGUAUUCCAAAUCAAAGCCACCAUUUAUCCAACAUGGUUGGAAUAACCCACCUUCUGCUUGAUCUGGCCAGAAUGCCACAAAGCGUUCUGAAUUAUCCUGGAGGUGGAAGCAGCAGAUGAUGCCAUGCACAGAGCUGGCAGUUGGACUUCUGGUCCUUCUGUGAUGGAUGGGAGCUGGACUUGCUUCUCAUUCCCAAAAGCAUUUACCGUCUCAGUUGUGAACUUGGACUUUUUAAAAUGGAAAAUCAAAAUAUUUUCUUCUCAAAAUUGCUGGCUUCUUUCUUCUGCACUCAGACUGUUCCUAUUCUUAUGCUUUUAACUAGUCUGUUACUGUGAUAUAACAUCUCAUCAUAACAACUUUUAGAAGCUAAGGAGUAUGAAGGCUUAUAGAUUAAUACAAGCUGGUAGAGGUGUUUUGUCAGUAAGGAAUUAGUGAGCAGAUGUUCUGUGAUACCUUCUGUACUCAGUGGUGUUGAUACUUGCAGAACUGUCCUUGCUGUUGAUGAUCACAGCAGCCCUUUUCGUGCUGAGUUCCUUUGAGUGUCACUGGGAUGUAGCUCAUGACAGCAGAGCAAAUAACUUCUAUAAACAAAUAUUUUAAAGUCCAUUAUCUGUGAUGCCUUAAACUAUUCCUUUCCCCUCCAUAGCAGAAUUCCUACUUCAACUUUACAUAAACGUGUCGAUUUUUUUAUUGGUUGUGAUCAGAGUUAAUAACAUCCUGAGCCAGUGUCACAUUUACUGACGCUAUUUAACCAUAUUUCCUUCAGUUUUGGUAAUAAUUCAGAACAAACCUGUCUCACUGUUUUUCAGAGUGAAAUGUUAUUCAGAGUCUCCUGUGCUGUUGGUUGUAAGAUGGAAUGAUAAUGAAUUGUCAUUAUGCUAAAUUCCCCCACUCAUAUUUAUUUAAAACUCACUCUCUUCUUAAAUGAUUUUCCUUGGUGUCAAACGCGGAUUAGUCAGAUGUGAGAGCAAAGAAGAGAUCUUCUAGGUAACUGCAAGAAGCUAUGUCCUGCUGUUCAGCAUUGACCAACCAACUUUGGUAGCUGGUACAUUUUGUGUAAAAUGCUGAGCAAAA